UACGAAGGGGGCUAGCGUUGCUCGGAAUCACUGGGCGUAAAGCGCACGUAGGCGGCUUUCUAAGUCAGGGGGGAAAUCCUGGAGCUCAACUCCAGAACUGCCUUUGAUACUGGAGAGCUUGAGUCCGGAAGAGGUGAGUGGAACUCCGAGUGUAGAGGUGAAAUUCGUAGAUAUUCGGAAGAACACCAGUGGCGAAGGCGGCUCACUGGUCCGGUACUGACGCUGAUGUGCGAAAGCGUGGGGAGCAAACAGG
rnacentral:rRNA from 1 species